rnacentral:tRNA from 1 species
CGUUCUAUGGCCGAAUUGGUAAAGGCAUCGCCGGGGUUGCGGGUUCGAGUCCCGCUGGAACAA